CCUACGGGAGGUGCAGUGGGGAAUAUUGCACAAUGGGCGCAAGCCUGAUGCAGCCAUGCCGCGUGUGUGAAGAAGGCCUUCGGGUUGUAAAGCACUUUCAGCGGGGAGGAAGGCGUUAAGGUUAAUAACCUUGGCGAUUGACGUUACCCGCAGAAGAAGCACCGGCUAACUCCGUGCCAGCAGCCGCGGUAAUACGGAGGGUGCAAGCGUCAAUCGGAAUUACUGGGCGUAAAGCGCACGCAGGCGGUCUGUCAAGUCGGAUGUGAAAUCCCCGGGCUCAACCUGGGAACUGCAUUCGAAACUGGCAGGCUAGAGUCUUGUAGAGGGGGGUAGAAUUCCAGGUGUAGCGGUGAAAUGCGUAGAGAUCUGGAGGAAUACCGGUGGCGAAGGCGGCCCCCUGGACAAAGACUGACGCUCAGGUGCGAAAGCGUGGGGAGCAAACAGGAUUAGAUACCCUAGUAGUC
rnacentral:rRNA from 1 species